UACGGGGGGGGCAAGCGUUGUUCGGAAUCACUGGGCGUAAAGGGCUCGUAGGCGGCCAACUAAGUCCGACGUGAAAUCCCCAGGCUUAACCUGGGAACUGCGUCGGAUACUGGAUGGCUUGAAUCCGGGAGAGGGAUGCGGAAUUCCAGGUGUAGCGGUGAAAUGCGUAGAUAUCUGGAGGAACACCGGUGGCGAAGGCGGCAUCCUGGACCGGCAUUGACGCUGAUGAGCGAAAGCCAGGGGAGCAAACGGG
rnacentral:rRNA from 1 species